GGGUGAGUAAGAUUUGGGAAACUACCUGAUAGAGGGGGACAACAGUUGGAAACGACUGCUAAUACCGCAUACAGCCUCAGGGUGAAAGAAGCGAUUCGCUAUCAGAUGUGCCCAAAUGGGAUUAGCUAGUAGGUGAGGUAAAGGCUCACCUAGGCGACGAUCUCUAGCUGGUCUGAGAGGAUGAUCAGCCACAUUGGGACUGAGACACGGCCCAGACUCCUACGGGAGGCAGCAGUAGGGAAUAUUGCACAAUGGAGGAAACUCUGAUGCAGCCAUGCCGCGUGUGUGAAGAAGGCCUUCGGGUUGUAAAGCACUUUCGGAGGGGAGGAAAAAAUGACGUUACCCUCAGAAGAAGCACCGGCUAACUCCGUGCC
rnacentral:rRNA from 1 species